AUUGAACGCUGGCGGCAGGCCUAACACAUGCAAGUCGAGCGGAUGAAGGGAGCUUGCUCCUGGAUUCAGCGGCGGACGGGUGAGUAAUGCCUAGGAAUCUGCCUGGUAGUGGGGGAUAACGUCCGGAAACGGGCGCUAAUACCGCAUACGUCCUGAUGGAGCAAGUGGGGGAUCUUCGGACCUCACGCUAUCAGAUGAGCCUAGGUCGGAUUAGCUAGUUGGUGGGGUAAAGGCCUACCAAGGCGACGAUCCGUAACUGGUCUGAGAGGAUGAUCAGUCACACUGGAACUGAGACACGGUCCAGACUCCUACGGGAGGCAGCAGUGGGGAAUAUUGGACAAUGGGCGAAAGCCUGAUCCAGCCAUGCCGCGUGUGUGAAGAAGGUCUUCGGAUGGUAAAGCACUUUAAGUUGGGAGGAAGGGAAGUAAGUUAAUACCUGGCUGUUUUGACGGUACCAACAGAAUAAGCACCGGCUAACUUCGUG
rnacentral:rRNA from 1 species